AUUAAUACCGCAUACGCCCUGAGGGGGAAAGUGGGGGACCGUAAGGCCUCACGUUAUACGAGCAGCCGACGUCUGAUUAGCUAGUUGGUGAGGUAAAAGCUCACCAAGGCAACGAUCAGUAGCGGGUCUGAGAGGAUGAUCCGCCACACUGGGACUGAGACACGGCCCAGACUCCUACGGGAGGCAGCAGUGGGGAAUUUUGGACAAUGGGCGCAAGCCUGAUCCAGCCAUGCCGCGUGUCUGAAGAAGGCCUUCGGGUUGUAAAGGACUUUUGUCCGGGAGCAAAUCCCACUGGUUAAUACCUACCGGGGAUGACAGUACCGGAAGAAUAAGCACCGGCUAACUACGUGCCAGCAGCCGCGGUAAUACGUAGGGUGCAAGCGUUAAUCGGAAUUACUGGGCGUAAAGCGUGCGCAGGCGGUUGUGCAAGUCUGAUGUGAAAGCCCCGGGCUUAACCUGGGAACGGCAUUGGAGACUGCACGACUAGAGUGCGUCAGAGGAGGGUAGAAUUCCACGUGUAGCAGUGAAAUGCGUAGAGAU
rnacentral:rRNA from 1 species